rnacentral:rRNA from 1 species
UGGCCGUAAACGAUGUGGACUUGGUGUUGGAAUGGCUCCGAGCUGCUCCAGUGCCGAAGGGAAGCUGUUAAGUCCACCGCCUGGGAAGUACGGUCGCAAGACUGAAACUUAAAGGAAUUGGCGGGGAGCACCACAGCGCGUGGAGCCUGCGGUUUAAUUUGGAUUCAACGCCGGACAUCUCACCAGGGGCGGACAGCAGAACGAUGGCCAGGUUGAUGACCUUGCUUGACAAGCUGAGAGGAGGUGCAUGGCGUAGUCGUGU